rnacentral:rRNA from 1 species
GAGUGGCGAACGGCCCCAUUAAUAUAUCGGGAACGUGCCCAGCUCGUGGGGGAUAACGUCCUGUAAAUUACGCUAAUACCGCAUACGAUCUAAGGAUGAAAGGGGGGGAUCGCAAGACCUCGCGCGAUUGGAGCGGCCGAUAUCAGAUUAGGUAGUUGGUAGGGUAAAGGCCUACCAAGCCAACGAUCUGUAGCUGGUCUGAGAGGACGACCAGCCACACUGGAACUGAGACACGGUCCAGACUCCUACGGGAGGCAGCAGUGGGGAAUUUUGGAGAAUGGGUGCAAGCCUGAUCCUGCCAUUCCGCGUGCAGGAUGAAGGCCCUCGGGUUGCAAACUGCUUCUGUACAGAACGAAAAGGUUUCU